AGGGCAAUAUUUUCCUGUUGUUGGGUUUUAUUUUCUUGAUACAGUAGCAUUAUUUAAUAGUAUUAUUCUCUUUCUACAUCCAUAGCUAAAUUACCAUUGUUUCAUGUACGGUCCUGGAUCCCGGGAGAUAUGACAGUGUAGAACAGCUAAUGAUCUGCCUCGUAAUUAUACAGCAUUGAAUUGUCUGUAUGUUGGCAUAUUGCAAUAAAUUUACAGACCCAGAAGCUAGGAGGGCCAUAUGUUGGGAUUUUCUACUUGGAGAUGUAUCCUGGUGGAAUUUCUAACGUUUGUACAUUUUUCUCAGAUUUCUUUUUUACAGGUAGAUUAGACACAAUCUCCCUUUUCUCACUGUGUGCUCAGUUCACUCUUCUGUCUUGUCUCCGCAUACCUUCAUCACUUGCACUCUGCUGGAUUUGCAAAAAAAGGUGGCUCCCUGAGUCCGGGAGAGAGAUGUAAUACAGCUUUAGUACAUGUACAGAAUUAUACUGAUGAUGGCAAAUAUACUAGUUACAAUCACUGUAUCCAAGGACACUGUCAACAAGGAUAAAAUUAUACCUCUACCUUGGAAGACAGCUAUACAGUUGGAAGGAACCUUCUACACCUUCCUAAUUCCUUACGCUCUUUCCCGAAACAUUAUCUUUUGGUCACUGUUGGAGAGAUGCUACGAAUAUUAUUUAUUAUGACACACCUACCUAACCAAAACAUGUCAAAAAUAGAAAUGACUUUACCAGGCCAAGUAGUCAAUAUUGUUUGUCAUACCUCCAAGAGAUCUGAUCCUCAGUAAGGAAGUAAAUAGAACCAAAUUGAAGAAAAAAGUCUGAAGAGAAUAACACCUGAGGCUGGCAGGAGAUAUCUGAGAGUGAGAACUGAAGACAUUGGGCAUUAAGUGUACAAGAGGACUAGAAGGCUGGUUCUGUGCUGCAGAGGAGAUGGAAGUUAUAAUAUCAUCUGCCUCUGUACUUAACCGUGCAGGGAGCUAGAAAGCUUGAGGAAUCUGAGAGCUGGCGUUGGCAAGGCUCCCAAGGUACUGGAAUACCUAAGAACAUGGUUUGCCGAAGAAUAGCUCUGAACACAAGAGGAAACUAGUAGAAGCACAGAUGUUUACAGGAACAUAUUCACAGUCCAGCAGAAGCUGCUCAAAAAUGUAGAUGCAUGCUUCUUGUACAAAUCUGUGCUGUUUGCACAAGUACAGAGUUUACCUUUCUAUUUAGUUUCAUAAAGACACUUUGAAGAAAAUUCUCCAAAAGAAUAAACAAACACAUACAAAUUUGAAAAUAUUGACA
rnacentral:lncRNA from 1 species